GAGACAUCUCCUAGUGUGAAAAACUCCGGUGGUACAGGAUGGGCCCGCGUCUGAUUAGCUGGUUGGCAGGGUAACGGCCUACCAAGGCAACGAUCAGUAGCCGGUCUGAGAGGAUGAACGGCCACAUUGGAACUGAGACACGGUCCAAACUCCUACGGGAGGCAGCAGUGGGGAAUAUUGCACAAUGGGGGAAACCCUGAUGCAGCAACGCCGCGUGAGUGAAGAAGUAUUUCGGUAUGUAAAGCUCUAUCAGCAGGGAAGAUAAUGACGGUACCUGACUAAGAAGCUCCGGCUAAAUACGUGCCAGCAGCCGCGGUAAUACGUAUGGAGCAAGCGUUAUCCGGAUUUACUGGGUGUAAAGGGUGCGUAGGUGGCAGUGCAAGUCAGAUGUGAAAGGCCGGGGCUCAACCCCGGAGCUGCAUUUGAAACUGCAUAGCUGGAGUACAGGAGAGGCAGGCGGAAUUCCUAGUGUAGCGGUGAAAUGCGUAGAUAUUAGGAGGAACACCAGUGGCGAAGGCGGCCUGCUGGACUGUUACUGACACUGAGGCACGAAAGCGUGGGGAGCAAACAGGAUUAGAUACCCUGGUAGUCCACGCCGUA
rnacentral:rRNA from 1 species